rnacentral:rRNA from 1 species
AUGAACGCUGGCGGCGUGCCUAAUACCUGCCAGUCGCGCGAACAGACGAGGAGCUUGCUCCUCUGACGUUAGCGGCGGACGGGUGAGUAACACGUGGAUAACCUACCUAUAAGACUGGGAUAACUUCGGGAAACCGGAGCUAAUACCGGAUAAUAUAUUGAACCGCAUGGUUCAAUAGUGAAAGACGGUUUUGCCGUCACUUAUAGAUGGAUCCGCGCCGCAUUAGCUAGUUGGUAAGGUAACGGCUUACCAAGGCAACGAUGCGUAGCCGACCUGAGAGGGUGAUCGGCCACACUGGAACUGAGACACGGUCCAGACUCCUACGGGAGGCAGCAGUAGGGAAUCUUCCGCAAUGGGCGAAAGCUUGACGGAGCAACGCCGCGUGAGUGAUGAAGGUCUUCGGAUCGUAAAACUCUGUUAUUAGGGAAGAACAAAUGUGUAAGUAACUAUGCACGUCUUGACGGUACCUAAUCAGAAAGCCACGGCUAACUAUGUG